GGGACUGUCUGGUUUCGACAUGUUAAUUGUACUUUAUAGAGUAAAUACAGAUACAAUAUGUGCUUUGACUUUAAUGUCAUAGCUCUUAAAAAUAAAUGCAAAAAAUCAUAUAAUUCCUUUAUCUCAAAAUUUAGUAUAUGCUUAAUUAAAUUUUGAGUAUCAGAUAAUAAAUCUGCAUACAUAUCUGAUUAUCAUACACUGCAGUACUCCUAAUCUAUUGUUUUAUAUAUUUCUUAAAUUUAGGUAAAGUCUAAAAAAUAUUAAGUAUGUCUAUUUUUAUAUAACUCUCUAAGACAUUAAUUAACAUGGACGUGGGUUCGAGUCCCACCAGUUCCA
rnacentral:tmRNA from 1 species